GUAUUUCAUUGCGUUAAACGCGACAUACAUUCCAUUAGACUUUAUUUCAAUGUGUGUGUGUAAAGACGUAGAACCACAGCAGGAGGACAGGGCCCUCCAGGCUAUAGAACUACAGAGGGUGCACAGGUGUGAGUGGAUGUGUAAACAGAGCGUGCACAUGCCCCCAUACAGGGGCCAGCAACAACCCUUGUUGACAAUUCGGUAAUGAUCCUUCCGCAGGUUCACCUACGGAAA
rnacentral:misc_RNA from 1 species